rnacentral:ribozyme from 1 species
GAGAAAGAAAAAAAAGAGACCUCGAGUCUAGAACACUCAUUAUGCACUUUUGCUUGAAUAUACAGUACUCAACAUGUUUAUUUGGCUUUUUGUUUUUUCCCUUCUUUUCUCAGAAU